CCUGCAGGAAAGGACAUCAACCGAGACUCCGCAAGUAGUGGCGAGCGAACGCGGACCAGGCCAGUGGCACUGAGGAAUAAAGUGGAACGACAUGGAAAGGUCGGCCGUAGAGGGUGAUAGCCCCUUACACGUAGAACACUCAGUGUCCUUGAGUAAGGCGGGACACGUGAAAUCCUGUCUGAACAUGGGGAGACCACUCUCCAAGCCUAAGUACUCGUGCAUGACCGAUAGCGAACAAGUACCGUGAGGGAAAGGUGAAAAGCACCCCGACAAGGGGAGUGAAAUAGAACCUGAAACCGGAUGCCUACAAACAGUCGGAGCCCGCAAGGGUGACGGCGUACCUUUUGUAUAAUGGGUCAACGACUUAGUGUGACGAGCAAGCUUAAGCCGAUAGGUGAAGGCGCAGCGAAAGCGAGUCUGAAUAGGGCGUUCAGUUCGUCGCAUUAGACCCGAAACCGAGUGAUCUAGCCAUGAGCAGGUUGAAGGUUGGGUAACACCAACUGGAGGACCGAACCCGCAUCUGUUGCAAUAGAUUGGGAUGACUUGUGGCUAGGGGUGAAAGGCCAAUCAAACUCGGAAAUAGCUGGUUCUCCGCGAAAACUAUUUAGGUAGUGCGUCGACCGAAUACCCUCGGGGGUAGAGCACUGGAUGGGCUAUGGGGACUCACCGUCUUACUGAUCCUAACCAAACUCCGAAUACCGAGGAGUACUAGUCGGCAGACACACGGCGGGUGCUAACGUCCGUCGUGAAGAGGGCAACAACCCUGACCUCCAGCUAAGGUCCCCAAGUCAUGGCUAAGUGGGAAAGGAUGUGAGGAUCCCAAAACAACCAGGAUGUUGGCUUAGAAGCAGCCAUCAUUUAAAGAAAGCGUAACAGCUCACUGGUCUAAUUAAGGGUCUUUGCGCCGAAAAUGUAACGGGGCUAAAGCCAUGCACCGAAGCUGAGGAUACGUCGCAAGACGUGUGGUAGCGGAGCGUUCCGUAAGCCUGUGAAGGGAUACCUGUGAGGGGUCCUGGAGGUAUCGGAAGUGCGAAUGUUGACAUGAGUAACGAUAAAGAGGGUGAGAGACCCUCUCGCCGAAAGACCAAGGGUUCCUGCUUAAAGUUAAUCUGAGCAGGGUUAGCCGGCCCCUAAGACGAGGCGGACACGCGUAGUCGAUGGGAACCACGUUAAUAUUCGUGGGCCUGGUGGUAGUGACGGAUUGCUUAACUUGUACGCUCUUAUUGGAUUGGGUGUGCAGGGACGCGGUUCCAGGAAAUAGCUCCACCGUAUAGACCGUACCCGAAACCGACACAGGUGGUCAGGUAGAGUAUACCAAGGCGCUUGAGAGAACUAUGCUGAAGGAACUCGGCAAAUUGCACGCGUAACUUCGGAAGAAGCGUGACCCUUUUAUACGCAAGUAUGAAAGGGUGGCACAGACCAGGGGGUAGCGACUGUUUAUCAAAAACACAGGGCUCUGCGAAGUCGCAAGACGACGUAUAGGGUCUGACGCCUGCCCGGUGCUGGAAGGUUAAGAGGAGGGGUGCAAGCUCUGAAUCGAAGCCCCAGUAAACGGCGGCCGUAACUAUAACGGUCCUAAGGUAGCGAAAUUCCUUGUCGGGUAAGUUCCGACCUGCACGAAUGGCGUAACGACUUCCCCGCUGUCUCCAGCAUAGACUCAGUGAAAUUGAAUUCCCCGUGAAGAUGCGGGGUUCCUGCGGUCAGACGGAAAGACCCCGUGCACCUUUACUAUAGCUUUACACUGGCAUUCGUGUCGGCAUGUGUAGGAUAGGUGGUAGGCUUUGAAGCAGGGACGCCAGUUCUUGUGGAGCCAUCCUUGAAAUACCACCCUUAUCGUCAUGGAUGUCUAACCGCGGUCCGUUAUCCGGAUCCGGGACAGUGUAU
rnacentral:rRNA from 1 species